AUUGAACGCUGGCGGCAGGCCUACCACAUGCAAGUCGAACGAGUGGCGGACGGGUGAGUAAUGUCUGGUAAACUGCGCGAUGGAGGGGGAUAACUACUGGAAACGGUAGCUAAUACCGCAUACCAUCGGAUGUGCCCAGAUGGGAUUAGCUAGUCGGUGGGGUAAAGGCUCACCUGGGCGACGAUCCCUAGCUGGUCUGAGAGGAUGACCAGCCACACUGGAACUGAGACACGGUCCAGACUCCUACGGGAGGCAGCAGUGGGGAAUAUUGCACAAGUGGCGCAAGCCUGAUGCAGCCAUGCCGCGUGUAUGAAGAAGGCCUUCGGGUUGUAAAGUACUUUCAGCGAGGAGGCGUUACUCGCAGAAGAAGCACCGGCUAACUCCGUGCCAGCAGCCGCGGUAAUAC
rnacentral:rRNA from 1 species